GAUGAACGCUGGCGGCGUGCCUAAUACAUGCAAGUCGAGCGAACGGACGAGAAGCUUGCUUCUCUGAUGUUAGCGGCGGACGGGUGAGUAACACGUGGAUAACCUACCUAUAAGACUGGGAUAACUUCGGGAAACCGUAGUUAAUACCGGAUAAUAUUUUGAACCGCAUGGUUCAAUAGUGAAAGACGGUCUUGCUGUCACUUAUAGAUGGAUCCGCGCUGCAUUAGCUAGUUGGUAAGGUAACGGCUUACCAAGGCAACGAUGCAUAGCCGACCUGAGAGGGUGAUCGGCCACACUGGAACUGAGACACGGUCCAGACUCCUACGGGAGGCAGCAGUAGGGAAUCUUCCGCAAUGGGCGAAAGCCUGACGGAGCAACGCCGCGUGAGUGAUGAAGGUCUUCGGAUCGUAAAACUCUGUUAUUAGGGAAGAACAUAUGUGUAAGUAACUGUGCACAUCUUGACGGUACCUAAUCAGAAAGCCACGGCUAACUACGUG
rnacentral:rRNA from 1 species